UUGGUGCCUGUUUGGAGUGACUUGGAUUGAGAUGUCCCUCCCCACCUCCCCACUUCCUCUGAGGAAGUCACUUAACCACAGUUGCCUAGCCUUUACAGCUCUUCUGCCUUGGAUCUGAUAUUAAUUCUAAGACAAAAGGUUUACUUCACUCAUUGGUUGAAUAAUUUGGAAGACAUAUCAUGAAAUGUGAAGCAGUGGAUAGUAUUGGAAGUAGAGUAAAUAAAGUGAUGGGCCUGGAAUCAAAACACCUGAGUUUAAAUCCAUCCUUGGAGAUAUAAUGAUUGUGUAUCACUGGGCGAGUCAUUUAGCACUUCCUUGCACAGAAUAGGAGCUUAAUAAGAAUUUUUUUCUUCCUCUGUUGUUAUAAGUAUAUUGAAAUACCCUUCUCUAUUGAGCAAAUUAUCUCUUUCAAGUUCUCAAAGGUAAAAAAUGUAAGUAAAUAAUUCUAUUAUUUUCUAGUUGUAAACAGCCUCCAUAAGUGACUCCACUAACAACAAAUAUAUAAUUAUAUCACAGUAUGAGAUAUAAUAAUAAUACAAUUUUCCUCAUAACAAUCUGGGGAAAAGGAUGCAGCCCCUUUAAAGUCAGAGAGCAGGGAAAUCUGAUCUUUUCCUAUUUGAAAUGGCUGCUAGGGGACCAUUUGCUACAAAUUAACUAGUAAAACACUUAGGAAUUAGAGAUUUGAUAGAAGGGGAAAAUUAGGAACAAGUUCAGUUUAAAAGAAGAAACCACUGAAUGGGAAAAAGCACAAUAAUUACAUUUUUAAAGAGACUACUAGCAGCAUCACCACUGCUACUUAGCAUCUUUCUCUCUCUCUCUUUUUUUUUAACUUUGCUACAAGGCAAAAGAAGACCCAAAACUUUUUUUUUUUUAACUUUGCUACAAGGCAAAAGAAGAUCCAAGAUUUUAUUGAAGAGGCAAAGAACUAUUACUAAAAUCUGCAAAGAAAGCCCAAAAUAGCCAUGUUCUCAUGAGUUAGUUAAUAGCCAUGGUUUUUUAAAGAAAAAAAAAACAUCUAAAGCUGGUUUGAUUGUGAGUGGGAUGCAAUUGGAUGGUGGAGGGGGUUUUGGAAACAAAAUUGGUUAUUAAAAGCCAUGGAAAAGUCCCUAGAAGAUCCAUUUCCAAUUUGGGAGAAUAGAGUUCCCAAAAGGAACUAAAUCUCUUUAUUGUCAUUACCUACUACAGGAACAAAUAUUUACUGAAGCAAAAGGUAUAAUUGUAGCAACAUUUCUCACAUAAUGUUCCACUUAGGACAAUGCUUGAGCCCACAAUGUAGUAAUAUCACCAAGUGGAGAUUCUAAUUGGAUCAGGAGGCUUUGUAAGGAAGAGGAUAUACAAAUAACACUCUGAGAGAUGUGGGGCCCAGAGAGUGCCAGAGAAGAAAGUGACAGGGUGGUGUGAAUUUUAAAACUAUUCCACCCUAAUCAAACUGUACUUUAGAAGAUCUGAUUUAGCUUUUUCCUGAUCAGUAACAAUGGAGAUACUUGGAAUAACAGAAUCAGGUCUUAGAAACUCUACAUUUCUCCACACUUCUUAGUUUAACAAGAUUAGGAAGGUCUGCAUCAAACUCAAGAUUUAAUUAUCUGAGGAAAUGGCCUUCAACAGACAUGUGCAGAAAAACGGACAGACCCCUGGGCUGUCCUAAUUCAAUCUAAGUGAUCAUUGGUACAGAUGAAACACAGGAAAGUGAUGUAAAACCAUCCAUAUAAGGCACAUCACUUCCUCUCUCUUGCUCUUUUCCCUGAAGAGGCAACUCUGGCUGAGAGUGUGCUAAGCUUUUCGGCAUCUUGGAGUGUUGGUGGUGAGUCUUGCCCUUGAGCCGAUUCAGGUUCAGGCAUCUUAGCUGAGCUCCUUUGGUGGUCAGGCUGGUUGUUUCCUCCUUCACACUCAAAACCUUACUUUCUAGAUCUCCAAAUCUUCCCGCCUGGUACUAGCCCCUUCCUUCUUCCUUCUUCUUAAUCUCCUCCACUAUAUCAAUUAAAUCACCAUAAAAUUUCCAGCUGAGUUUUGGUGCUUCAUUAGGAUUUUAUAAAUAAAAUCAUUGGUGACCAAAUAUAAUUAUUACAUUCGGUCUCAACCAUAAUUUUAACCUUUACAGUGGAGAGAUCUAAUAUGGCAUAGGGAUAAAAAAGAUACUCAUGUGUGGUUAUGGUUCUAGCACCAUGAACCUUGGAAUGUCUGGGGCAACAUGAUAACUAAAGAACUAAGGCAAGAAAAUCUAAUUAUUUUCAAAUCUACCUUAGGGACUCCUCUGAAGAUUAUAA